CCCUUAGAUGUUCUGGGCCGCACGCGCGCUACACUGACGAAGUCAGCGAGCAUGUCCUACGCCGACAGGUGCGGGGAAUCUUGUCAAACUUCGUCGUGAUGGGGAUUGAUUAUUGAAAUUCUUGAUCAUGAACGAGGAAUUCCUAGUAAGCGCAAGUCAGCAGCUUGCGUUGAUUACGUCCCUGCCCUUUGUACACACCGCCCGUCGCUACUACCGAUUGAAUGGUUUAGUGAGAUCUUCGGAUUGGCGCCACUGCGGCUCGGCAACGGGCUCGGUGGACGCCGAAAAGUUGAUCAAACUUGAUCAUUUAGAGGAAGUAAAAGUCGUAACA
rnacentral:rRNA from 1 species